rnacentral:tRNA from 1 species
ACUGGAAUAAUUCAGUUAGAAGAGUGUUAGACUGAAAAUCUUAAAGGUCCCUGGUUCGAUCUCGGUUUCCAGGA